rnacentral:rRNA from 1 species
UACGUAGGGUGCGAGCGUUGUCCGGAAUUAUUGGGCGUAAAGGGCUCGUAGGCGGUCUGUCGCGUCAGGAGUGAAAACUCGGGGCUUAACCCCGAGCCUGCUUCUGAUACGGGCAGACUAGAGGUAUGCAGGGGAGAACGGAAUUCCUGGUGUAGCGGUGAAAUGCGCAGAUAUCAGGAGGAACACCGGUGGCGAAGGCGGUUCUCUGGGCAUUACCUGACGCUGAGGAGCGAAAGUGUGGGGAGCGAACAGG